rnacentral:lncRNA from 1 species
UUGUCACAGGUUCUUCUUUUACGGUUUCUGUAGCUUCAACUUCAGUAGCCACAGAUUCUUCUUUUACUGUUUCUGUAGCUUCAACUUCAGUAGCCACUGGUUCUUCUUUUACUGUUUCUGUAGCUUCAACUUCAGUAGCCACUGGUUCUUCUUUUACUGUUUCUGUAGCUUCAACUUCAGUAGCUGCAGGUUCGUCUUUUACCGUUUCUGUAGCCUCAACUUCAGUUGCCACAGGUUCUUCUUUUACCGUUUCUGUAGGCUCAACUUCAGUAGCCACGGGUUCUUCUUUUACUGUUUCUGUAGCUUCAGCUUCAGUAGCUAGAGGUUCUUCUUUUACCGUUUCUGUAGGAUCAACUUCAGUAACCACAGGUUCGUCUUUUACGGUUUCUGUAACCUUAACUUCAGUAGCUGCAGGUUCUUCUUUUACUGUUUCCGUAGCCUCAACUUCAGUAGCCACAAGUUCUUCUUUUAGUGUUUCUGUAGCCUCAACUUCAGUAACCACGGGUUCUUCUUUUACUAUCUCUGCA